CGCAUCUGUGCAUGCAGCAUAUCAAUAAGCGGAGGAAAAGAAACUAACAAGGAUUCCCUUAGUAACGGCGAGUGAAGCGGGAAGAGCUCAAAUUUGAAAUCUUCAAGGUUUUACCUUGACGAAUUGUAGUUUAAAGAAGUGUUUUCUGUUGAAGUUUUGGUAAAAGUUCUUUGGAAUAGGACAUCAUAGAGGGUGAGAAUCCCGUAUUUGACCAUUAUUUUCAGCUGUGUGAUACACUUUCAAAGAGUCGGAUUGUUUGGGAAUGCAGUCCAAAAUGGGUGGUAAAUUUCAUCUAAAGCUAAAUAUUGGCGAGAGACCGAUAGCGAACAAGUACCGUGAGGGAAAGAUGAAAAGAACUUUGAAAAGAGAGUUAAACAGUACGUGAAAUUGUCAAAAGGGAAGCGUUUGACACCAGUGUUGUCUUCUCGAAAAUCAAUUAAAAAGAGUUGGAUUUUGUGUUGUAUUGACCUUAACAGCUUGCUUCACUCUUUUCCAGCUUUUUUUAAUGCACUUUUCGUUUAACAAGUCAACACCAGUUUCUUUUGUUGUAAAAGGGUCAUUGGAAGGUGGCUUUCUCUUCGGAGAAAGUGUUUAUAGCCUUUGAUCUCUGCAAUCGGAGAGACUGAGGUCUGCAGCGUAGAUCCUUCGGGGUUAGAUACAUUUGUGCUAAGCUACAGCUUUUCAUAGACAACUUGUUGACUAUGUUUAGUCUUGUGACUUACCCGCUUAUGCUAUUUUACCUACGCUUAGGAUGUUGAUAUGCAUGACUGAUAU
rnacentral:rRNA from 1 species